rnacentral:rRNA from 1 species
AUUGAACGCUGGCGGCAGGCCUAACACAUGCAAGUCGAACGGUAACAGGAAGAAGCUUGCUUCUUUGCUGACGAGUGGCGGACGGGUGAGUAAUGUCUGGGAAACUGCCUGAUGGAGGGGGAUAACUACUGGAAACGGUAGCUAAUACCGCAUAACGUCGCAAGACCAAAAAGGGGGACCUUCGGGCCUCUUGCCAUCGGAUGUGCCCAGAUGGGAUUAGCUAGUAGGUGGGGUAACGGCUCACCUAGGCGACGAUCCCUAGCUGGUCUGAGAGGAUGACCAGCCACACUGGAACUGAGACACGGUCCAGACUCCUACGGGAGGCAGCAGUGGGGAAUAUUGCACAAUGGGCGCAAGCCUGAUGCAGCCAUGCCGCGUGUAUGAAGAAGGCCUUCGGGUUGUAAAGUACUUUCAGCGGGGAGGAAGGGAGUAAAGUUAAUACCUUUGCUCAUUGACGUUGCCCGCAGAAGAAGCACCGGCUAACUCCGUG